AAACAUUAUAAAUCUUUAUGUUUUUCCCUAUACAAACAUUACCAGAUACUGCCCCAAUACAGUUAAAAGCAUUUCCUGUUAACUGCAUGUAAGCUCAAUAUUCAGUCUUUUGAACAAAUUUUUGUUUCUUAUGGAGUAGUCUUGCAUAGACUGCCAUUGGUCUCAGGCUGGUUCCAACAGUUCUUCCUAGGGAAAAAAAGCCAUUGCAGGACAGCUGAGCACUCAGUACUUUUUAACUCUUUCCUACACAUCUUUCUCAUGCUCAGAGGCUUUCACCACACAGGCUGUGUCUGAGCUUCUGAACUUCCAGCAAAACACAUCAGAACUCUCACCACCGCGGCCGGCCGCCGCUCAGCUCAGGCGGUCGCGUUCCGGCGGCCAGCGGGCGCCGGGCGCAGGACUCCAACCACGGCCGCCACCGCCGCCGCCGCCUGCGCAGGGAAGCC
rnacentral:lncRNA from 1 species